rnacentral:tRNA from 1 species
GGGAUUGUAGUAUAGUGGUCAGUACUUCUCGUUGUGGUUUCAUUCACAGCGAUCCGAGAGGACCCAGGUUCGAUUCCUGGCAAUCCCA